UACGUAGGGUGCGAGCGUUAAUCGGAAUUACUGGGCGUAAAGUGUGCGCAGGCGGCCGCGCAAGUCGAGUGUGAAAGCCCCGGGCUUAACCUGGGAAUUGCGCUUGAAACUAGCGGGCUUGAGUGUGGCAGAGGGGGGUGGAAUUCCACGUGUAGCAGUGAAAUGCGUAGAGAUGUGGAGGAACACCGAUGGCGAAGGCAGCCCCCUGGGUCAACACUGACGCUCAUGCACGAAAGCGUGGGGAGCAAACAGG
rnacentral:rRNA from 1 species